AGAGAGGGAGGCCUCUAGGGUCCCAGCGCAUCAGGAAGCAGGAAGAGUGUGGGGUCACAGGCUAGGACUUGGUAGUUUCUCACAGCUCUCUAUGGCCCACAGUCCACGAACCACGUGGUCCAAGUUAGCAUGAGCAAGACAAAGGUCCAGGACACCUCACCACACUCCCACCUGCCUGGGCAUUACCUAGGUCUGGAAAUACCGGGAAAAGGAGGAAAUGGCUGCUGAUCAAGAGCUGGCUGGGCUGUGGGAGGUUAUAAAUCUAGCAGAGAAAAAAAAAUGGAGAGAAAGAAGAAAGAGAGCGGCCCACGCUGGGAAAAGAAAAGCGCAGCCUUCCCGAAGCUCCAGCUGGAAAGGCGAGCGGGCAGUGCGGCACUGAGCCCGCCGGAGGCUGGCCGCUCCAGCCCAGGCUACUCAUUCAGACUAACCCGUGCUGCGGGAGCUGGGGGCUCUUUAGCAAUUAAGCAAUCUCAAGUUUUCUUUCUUUCUUUUUUUUUAAGAAACCGUGUUUCUUUUCUUUUUGACUGCCUUCCCUUCCAACAUUUUUCCUUCAUUUUCCCUCCUUGCCAUCCGUUUUAAUCCACACACUAAUUGUAAUCCCAUUAAAGCCGAUAUAAUUUUAUUAGUAUUCACGGUUCAUCAAGCUAAUAAUAAUAACUGUUACUGCCAAACUGAAAAAUAAAAGCAGCAAAUAAUA